CCUUCACCGCCAUCUAGUCAACAAUAUCCUCACCAUCCCAAAUGGAAACCUUGUCCCCAUUCAACUGUCCAUGGAAGAAGCCUGUGUACUAGAUGACCUCUAGGACCCAGACCCAGCUGCUGGCCUUCACUCCUGCCCAGAGGAUGCCUCAGGCUCCCUCACUGCCCCACCUCAGCACAUUCUAGAGUCACAAGGAUCGAGCUGGUGCAGCCAGAGCCCCAGCCAUCAUCUCCAGCCCUUCCUAAAUAUCACAUGGCUCUCAGCACCCCUUGGGGAGAGAGGAGAUGCCACUGCUCUCAUGGCCAUGUGGAGGGCACUGAGUCAAUAAACACCUCAUUCAAACUUCUCA